GGAAGGCGGAUCCAAGCUCGCGUCUUCAAGAAGAAUCUACCCAUGGACGUCGCCGCCACCAACUCGCUCAUCAAUCUCUACUUCAAGUGCGGCAGCAUCGCCGACGCGGAGAAGGUGUUCGACGGUGCCAUCUACCAGGCCAGAUAUGGUUGAAGUUGUGAACAUACUAGAGAUGAUCAGAUGCCCUCAGGAUAAUCCGGAAGAGGAGCUUUCUUGACGGUUUGGUCCACAAUCUCUGCGACAUAAACCAGUUAUAUGGUAGAUACCUAGAAUGAUGAACUAGCAUGGUAGUUGGAUUUGGUUUGCACGAAAUGAAAGUAGAAAAAGAAGGCCUAGCUGCUACAGAAUAGCUUGACUAACAAUUUGCAAGCCAGAAAUCCUUGUGAAAGUUAAUCGAGGUUUUUCCCUUUCUCUAGUAUUAGUGUGCUGCUGCAAGGUGGAUUACAUUCACCAGGCCCAAGUGAUGCGAUCAUUCCAUUCAUCUUGUAGCAAUUACCAGGAACUCUAAGUUGCAUGUUUAAUUAAAUCUGAAAGGUCUUACUAGUAUUCAAAUAUUGUUACCUCAUGUUUCUCCUUCCUUGUUCAGUUCUUGCAUAUGUAGAGGAUUGAGAUUGUGAAAGUUGGUGAAGUUCAUAUAGAGAAUGCAAGUCUCCAUAGAAGAAGGAGAAGGUAAAGCGCAAGAGCUCGGUGUCAUGUUUAUCAAAACAAGCGCAAAAGCUGGCUUCAAUAUAAAGGCUCUCUUUCGAAAGAUUGCGGCUGCCUUGCCCGGGAUGGAAACCUUUCUCCUCCAUGUUGUUUAGAUUUAUGAGGUUUAAGAAUGAAGGAAGAAUCUUUUAUUUUGUUCUUUUGAAAAUUUAUUAUGUCAAUAUAAGUAGAAUCUUUUUGAGUUUAUGAGGUUAUCUGUUUAAAUAAAAAUCUUCUCUUCCUAUUUCAUUUUGUUCUUUUGAAAAUUUAUUAUGUCAAUAUAAGUAGAAUCUUUUUUGA